CUUCCCCCUUUUUUUUUUUUCUUUUAUUGCUGAAACAUCAGCUCACUCGCACAAACUAACCUACACACACCGCGCACAACUCCUUGUUCCUCACCUAGACCACCACCGUCUCGAUUCCUCCUCCUGCGGCACGACUGCCGCCGGUCACCUCUCCUACCUUCUCUCUCUGACCGCAAAAGAACACACACUACACUCACGGAUUCGAAAAUACACACACACUGACACACGAAGGCAGCCGCCGGCGAGCCAUGGCUACCGCUUCUCCUUCAACCCCUAUCACCAUCUCUCAGCCCCCUAAUCUCCCUCCUCUCUCGAAAAGGAAACCCUAGAUCCCCAAAUCCUUAGCACCUACUCUCGAUUUCCGGCGACCAUAGCAGCGAUGGCCGCCGCCGCGUGAACUCCCUUUAUCUCCAGCAGAACAGUAGCAAACCGCCGCCGCCGUCGACGCCCUCGAUUUCCGGCGCCCGACUGACUCGACUCACACAGCCACAAGCCCCCCCUCCUUACCCCUUCGUUUCUCAGAACACCAAUGACAGCAGGAGUUCCGCCGCCGUCGGCCCUUAUCCGGCAGAUUAGGCAACAACACUCACACAAGUUCAACUUCUAGUCUUGUUCUGCCUUCCAUUUUCUUGUGUUCUCAUUUGUAAGACAUUUACAUCUUAAUGCUAUGCAAACUCAGACACAGACAAAUAAGUAUAUAUAUAUGCCGAGAUAAAGCCAUGAAUGCGUUUUGGAUUUGAACUCUGUUUUCGAUUGGUUAGUUGUGAAGAUUCAAAAUUUGAUGUUGAAAGCUUGUGUGAAAGUUUGAACUCGAAAAGUGUAAACUAUGAUCAGUUGAGUUAGAAUUUACCUUUCAAGAGUUUCUAAUUGACUGGUGCUGUGAUUUCUG
rnacentral:lncRNA from 1 species